rnacentral:rRNA from 1 species
GGUUCAUUCAAAUUUCUGCCCUAUCAACUUUCGACGGCAGGUCUUGGCCUGCCAUGGUGACAACGGGUAACGGAGGGUUAGGGCUCGACCCGGAGAAGGAGCCUGAGAAACGGCUACUACAUCCAAGGAAGGCAGCAGGCGCGCAAAUUACCCAAUCCCGACCGGGGAGGUAGUGACAAUAAAUACUGAUACAGGGCUCUUUUGGGUCUUGUAAUUGGAAUGAGUACAAUUUAAACCCCUUAACGAGGAACAAUUGGAGGGCAAGUCUGGUGCCAGCAGCCGCGGUAAUUCCAGCUCCAAUAGCGUAUAUUAAAGUUGUUGCAGUUAAAAAGCUCGUAGUUG